AUGCUGGCGCCCGUGCACGUUGAUGGCAUUGUGGCGGAAGGUCUUCUUCCUGGGGAGCCGCGCCCAGCCUCAGUCUCCACCCGCGGCCACGCUAACAAGAUAGAGUAUUUGCGAUGUAUCCUUCACUUACCAUACCACGGGGUUGUUGCGGAUAUUGGUGGAGGACUUGGUGGUCUAGCGCAAAAUGGAAUCCUAGAAAGAAGUGAAACUAAUCAGCUAUGGUCAGUCGGCAGAGGCGCAUGCAGGUUUGUGCUUGAGGGUGCACGCGAGUCGGUGGCUACAGGCAAAGGAGCAAAGGAGGCUUCUGUGGCGCCGGAGCAACAAUUUCGGUGA
rnacentral:rRNA from 1 species